rnacentral:rRNA from 1 species
AUAAAUCACAAUGCGGAACUUCUGUUUUGCAAUUGGAUUGAGAACAACGCACAACACUUAUCGAUAAACAAUUGGAGGGCAAGUCUGGUGCCAGCAGCCGCGGUAAUUCCAGCUCCAAUAGCGUAUAUUAACGUUGUUGCAGUUAAAAAGCUCGUAGUUGAAGUGAAGUGUGGAACUUUUGCAUUUUCGUUUGAAUUUCCUUCUGUUUCAUACUCUUUCCAAAUAGUUUGCAUGGGUAUUCAHUUAUCUGUGUAUUGCAUUUGGUCAUUUACUGUGAGAAAAUUAGAGUGUUCAAAGCAUACGUUUGUUUGAAUACAUUAGCAUGGAAUAAUUCGAAAAGGCUUUCAUGUUCGAUUUGAUUGGUUUGUUCGUGAAGGCAAGAUUAAAAGGGACAGUUGGGGGUAUUCAUAUUCAAUAGUCAGAGGUGAAAUUCUCGGAUUUAUGGAAGAUGAACAAGUGCGAAAGCAA